rnacentral:rRNA from 1 species
GACGAACGCUGGCGGCGUGCCUAAUACAUGCAAGUCGAACGCAGUGGGGACGGGUGAGUUACACGUGCGUAACCUCCCUUCAGAGGGGAUAACACUUGGUAACAGGUUCUAAACCGAUACUGAUGGAUGGACCCGCGGUGGAUUAGCUAGUUGGUGAGGUAACGGCUCACCAAGGCCACGAUGCAUAGCGCGCCGGGUGGGGGGUUUGGCCACACUGGGAUGGAGACACGGCCCAGAUUCCUACGGAAGUCAGCAUGAGGGAAUCGUCGACAAUGGACGAAAGUCUGACCAGGAAAGGCGACUGGAGUGAAGAAGGUUUUGAGAAGGUAAAACACAGUUAUUGGGGAAACGGGAGCUAACCAGAAAGCAACGGCUAACUACGUGCCAGCAGCCGCGGUAAUAC